GUUUAGAUAAGUUAAUAAAGAAUAAAAAUGCCUCUAAAUCACCUGUGGUAUCUGAAAUACCAAUAAUAGUUGUUCUAGUAUGUUAUUAGGACAUAACGUCAUCUGACUAGCACGUUUGCCUCAAGUUAUUCGCGCCAUUUAUGUUGGUUCUGUUGUGGCUAAUUCUCAUGAAUACGUUUGUGGCUAAGGAAAGUUGGAUUUGUAGACAUACUGUAUUGGCCUAUUCACCAAUGUUAUUAACGAGGGCCGUUUUAAGCCCUUGCUGCUGGUAAAUUGGGUUUUCUGAAAGGAGAUUCCUGUGUGUAGAGUCUAUUUUGGGAAGCGGUGGUGACCCACGAGUAGGGGAAUGACAGGAGGGUCGUUCUUCAAGGAAAGAGGUCUCCGUCCUUUUUCCCUAUUUGGAGAGAGUGGGCGGAAUGAACCCGGACAGGCUGUGGUUU
rnacentral:lncRNA from 1 species